GAUGAACGCUAGCGGCAGGCUUAACACAUGCAAGUCGAGGGGUAUAGUUCUUCGGAGCUAGAGACCGGCGCACGGGUGCGUAACGCGUAUGCAAUCUACCUUUUACAGAGGGAUAGCCCAGAGAAAUUUGGAUUAAUACCUCAUAGUAUGUGAGAAUCGCAUGGUUUUCACAUUAAAGUUCCAACGGUAAAAGAUGAGCAUGCGUCCCAUUAGCUAGAUGGUAAGGUAACGGCUUACCAUGGCGACGAUGGGUAGGGGUCCUGAGAGGGAGAUCCCCCACACUGGUACUGAGACACGGACCAG
rnacentral:rRNA from 1 species